rnacentral:rRNA from 1 species
GACGAACGCUGGCGGCGUGCUUAACACAUGCAAGUCGAACGGAAAGGCCCUGCUUUUGUGGGGUGCUCGAGUGGCUAACGGGUGAGUAACACGUGAGUAACCUGCCCUUGACUUUGGGAUAACUUCAGGAAACUGGGGCUAAUACCGGAUAGGAGCUCCUGCUGCAUGGUGGGGGUUGGAAAGUUUCGGCGGUUGGGGAUGGACUCGCGGCUUAUCAGCUUGUGGGUGGGGUAGUGGCUUACCAAGGCUUUGACGGGGGGCCGGCCUGGGAGGGUGACCGGCCACAUUGGGACUGAGAUACGGCCCAGACUCAUACGGGAGGCAGCAGUGGGGAAUAUUGCAAAAUGGGCGGAAGCCUGAUGCAGCAACGCCGCGUGCGGGAUGACGGCCUUCGGGUUGUAAACCGCUUUCGCCUGUGACGAAGCGUGAGUGACGGUAAUGGGUAAAGAAGCACCGGCUAACUACGUG